rnacentral:rRNA from 1 species
UACAGAGGGGGCAAGCGUUGUUCGGAAUUACUGGGCGUAAAGGGCGCGUAGGCGGCCUGCUAAGUCGAACGGGAAAUCCCUGGGCUCAACCCAGGAACUGCGUCCGAUACUGGUUGGCUUGAAUCCGGGAGAGGGACGUGGAAUUCCAGGUGUAGCGGUGAAAUGCGUAGAUAUCUGGAGGAACACCGGUGGCGAAGGCGACGUCCUGGACCGGUAUUGACGCUGAGGCGCGAAAGCCAGGGGAGCAAACGGG